UCAGUAAGUGCCCUGUGGGUAUGGGUGGCUGGCUGAGACCCCAGCCCUGGGCAUUUGCAUUCU
ensembl:miRNA MIR12270 microRNA mir-12270